GAUGAAGAACGCAGCGAAAUGCGAUACGUAAUGUGAAUUGCAGAAUUCAGUGAAUCAUCGAAUCUUUGAUCGCAUAUUGCGCUCUUUGGUAUUCCGAAGAGCAUGCUUGUUUGAGUAUCAGUAAACACCUCAAAGACUUCAAUUUGUUUUGAAUGGCUUUGGACUUGAGCAAUCCCAACACCAGUCUUUACGAUCGGUGGAGGGUUGCUUGAAAUGCAGGUGCAGCUGGACAUUCUCCUGAGCUAAAAGCAUAUUUAUUUAGUCCCGUCAAACGGAUUAUUACUUUUGCUGCAGCUAACAUAAAGGGAGUUUGACCGUAUUGGCUGACUGAUGCAGGAUUUCACAAGGGUCGGCAACGAUUCUUGUAAAACUCGAUCUCAAAUCAAGUAAGACUACCCGCUGAACUUAAGCAUAUCAAUAAGCGGAGGA
rnacentral:misc_RNA from 1 species